UGACUCCCUACUUCACUAGCACUUCUCCAGUAACCGUUUGCUAUGAUCACCACUUUUAUCCAAUUUUCAUUUUCAUCAUUUUGAAUGAAGCCAAAUAAGGAAAAAAAUUCAGAAUUUGGCCCAAGGAAAUGUCCCAACCAACAAAAGAACCAAACAGAAUCUCUAUUUACAUAUUCAGCAAGAGUUGGCCUAUUCGGACAAUGGGGAAUGAGAAAUUCAGAUCACAAGCAAGCUCUACGUUUGUGUCAAGGCUGUAGAACCACUCUGCUGGCCAAGUUGAGGAAUGAGUUCCCUAGCAUCAUCCCAUGUGUCUGGCUCCAGGACCCAAAAUACCAUCAACAACAAGCAUGCAGUUGGCAACUGUAUCUUUCAGACUUGCUCAUAAACACACACCUAUAUAUAUACCCACAUAUCACAUUUCCUUGCCCAAUGAGGAAUGAGAAGAAAACACUUGUCCUGCAGCAGUAGAACAAUAAAUUAACCAUAAAGGGAUGAAUCAUAAACAUCAUCCGAGUAAAUCAUCAAAACAUUCACUUGUUGAGAAAAAUAUUAUCAUUUCUCUUACCAUGUAUUCUAGCAUCACUGAAUUAAACCCUAAAAAUUCUGAAAUGAUGGGCUUAUUCUUCUUCAACAAGACUUUUUUCUACCUGCACUCAAUUGGGGCCUGUGAUUUCUCCUUCACACAAAGAGUAGAGAGGAGAACCCAGAAAAGAUUCCCAUCAUGGGUUCCAAAUAUUCAAAAACUGAUACUUUGGGGACACAGAGUUCAGUAGAAACUACUGAAGUUAGGGAGGGGAUGGCGAGGCUCAGCUAUUUUUCUCUGCAGAAGAAUGGAGCAUUCAGAAUCAGUCUGUUGCUGAUAGGAUUACUGAGCAUCCAUCGUGGACCACACACAGCCCUCAAGAUCUCUUCUGCCAACACAUGAAGAAGCUGGUGUACGAAUGGAUUUGAUGGAAGGUUUUUAAGGGCAAAUAAUUCAAAAUAGCAGGCUAUUAUUUCUAUUACUUAACAACUCUAAAAUCAUGAUGUAUAUGUAAAUAAUUUAUCAAGGGAAUGGUUAGAAGAAUGAGUAUUGCUCAGCUCUUCUAUUGGUCUUGGCAGAAAAAAAUACGUGGCUCUACUACUGGGAUAGGACUCGUAAGACAAAUCUGACUUUUUUUUUUUUUUAAUUUGUUUAUUUGACAGAGAGACACACAGCAAGAGAGGGAACACGAACAGGGAGAGUGGGAGAAGGAGAAGCAGGCUUCCCACAGAGCAGAGAGCCCAACACGGGGCUCAAUCCCAGGACCCUGGGAUCAUGACCCGAGCCGAAGGCAGACGCCUAACGACUGAACCAUCCAGGUGCCCCCAAAUCUGACUUUUUAAAAUGUGGUGGGGGGAAAAAAUGUAGCUGUUUGUAUAAAUACAGGGAAACAUAUAGGAGAAUAUUUAACAAUAGUAGUUACGAGGCAGUGAGGUUAAGAAAGGAACAAAUUUUUAAAUUUUCUUCAAAAGUCCUUUUUUUUUUUAAAGAUUUUAUUUACUUAUUUAUUUGACAAAGAGAAAUCACAAGUAGAUGGAGAGGCAGGCAGAGAGAGAGAGAGAGGGAAGCAGACUCCCUGCUGAGCAGAGGGCCUGAUGCGGUACUCGAUCCCAGGACCCUGGGAUCAUGACCUGAGCCGAAGGCAGCAGCUUAACCCACUAAGCCACCCAGGUGCCCUCAUAAGUCCUUUUUAUUUAACCUCUUAAAACAAACAUAAAUUCCUCUUUUAAUUAAAAAAAAAUAAUGUACUCUCUCUCUCUCUUUCUUUUUUUUAAAGUUUUUCUUUUGUUUUUUGGUUUUUUUUUUUGGUUUGUUUUUUUUAUUUAACAGAGAGCAAGAGAGAGCACAAGCAAGGGGAGCAGCAGGCAGAGGGAGAGGGAGAAGCAGGCUCCCUACUGAGCAGGCAGCCCGACAUGGGACUCCAUCCCAGGACCCUGGGAUCAUGACCUGAGCCAAAGGCAGACACUUAACCAUCUGAGCCACCCAGGAGCCCUCUCUCUGUCUCUCUCCCUCUCAAAUAAAUAAAUAAAAACCUUUAAAAAUAAUAAUAAUGCAAAUACCCUUUUUAUUCCCAAAUAUACUUUUAAAAAGAAUUCUUCUACCUGAAUAGAAUGAACAAUUUCCUCUUUUACUUCUCAGAUCAGGAAAUUUCCAUUUAGGAGAAGAAUCCACGCCUGAAACUGUUUAUGAAAGGAAAAUCAGUAUAAAGCUUUACAGAGGAAGAAUUUUUUUUUUUUAAGGAAAUUUGUAAAAAGAAAAUUGCUUCCUAGCUGAGACCAUGAAUGGCAAGUUGCAGCUGAGAGUGAAUUUUUAAUACUUGGUUAAAAGUCCUUGAUAAU
rnacentral:lncRNA from 1 species